rnacentral:sRNA from 1 species
UUUCUGUUGUAUGCAGAGCACGUACGCGGUGUUUUUUUGUGCCCUUUUUGGAGUUUCGUAUAUUUCUCGCGCAUAUUUACGUUUAAUGAAACGAACAUUUAACAAACAAGAACUGUGUACGUUUAGUGUUUAUUGUGUGUUUAACAAAGUGACCAAAAUAUAAAUAUAAUACAUCAAAUUGUAUGGCUUCCCAAUACAUUUUUGUUUUUGUGCGCGUCGUACUCAUUGAAAUGACAAACUAAUAAUAAUAAAAAAAAAUCAAAUUGGAUUAUCGCCAAGCCCCGUGCUAAUGUUGGCCGACACUGCCACACUUAUGGCCACAUUUCUGCAAUCCAAUUGGAACAAUAACAAGAACUGCCCCUAGCUAACAAUUUAAUUGCCAUUGCACAAAAACUGUUUGUGCUGAUAAGAAGAGGCCAGAACACAUCGUGGAAAACCCUUACACCCAACCUUAAGCCCCUCUGCCAUCCACCAACAAGGGAUAGUUCAACAUGUCUACCCAAUCGCUAUAUCGCUGCCUCUUGCCUCACGUCCCGCCACUUCGAGCAACGUAGAGUUUCUUCUGUUUUGUCUCAUAUUCUUCCAACAAAAUUGUGGCAAUUGCAACAACAACAACAACAACAAAUAUAAUAAUAAUAAGAACAAAGUCUUGUGAAAAUUCCUGCCAACAGCAACAAGUGAAACGCAAAGAAGAAAAAAAAAACAUUUAAAAACUAAAUAUAACAAAUCAAAAACAACAACAAACUACACUGAGAGAAACGCUCGAGCGUGUUUGGUGCCGUUUUGUGGUCUUGUUACUUCGUGAUUUCGUCGCCGUCGUCAGCGUUUGCCGCCGACGGAGGAGGACGAGAGACGCGAAGCAACGAGCCGUAGCCAAAGCCUCAACACGGACGCAUUUAUGGAUGCGGGCGGCCUGCCAGUGUUCCAGAGCGCCAGCCAAGCAGCAGCAGCCGCCGUCGCCCAGCAGCAACAACAACAGCAGCAGCAACAGCAACAACAGCAG